AUACGUAGGGUGCAAGCGUUAAUCGGAAUUACUGGGCGUAAAGCGGGCGCAGGCGGUUUUUUAAAACAGAGGUGAAAUCCCCUGGCUCAACCUGGGAACUGCCUUUGUGACUGCAAAGCUAGAGUACGGCAGAGGGGGAUGGAACUCAGCGUGUACCCGUGAAAUGCGUAGAUAUGCGGAGGAACACCGAUGGCGAAGGCAAUCCCCUGGGCCUGUACUGACGCUCAUGCACGAAAGCGUGGGGAGCAAACAGGAUUAGAUACCCUGGUAGUCCACGCCCUAAACGAUGUCAACUGGUUGUUGGGUCUUCAUUGACUCAGUAACGAAGCUAACGCGUGAAGUUGACCGCCUGGGGAGUACGGCCGCAAGGUUGAAACUCAAAUGAAUUGACGGGG
rnacentral:rRNA from 1 species